rnacentral:rRNA from 1 species
CGCCUGGGGAGUGCGGCCGCAAGGUUAAAACUCAAAUGAAUUGACGGGGGCCCGCACAAGCGGUGGAGCAUGUGGUUUAAUUCGACGCAACGCGAAGAACCUUACCUGGCCUUGACAUGCAGAGAACUUUCCAGAGAUGGAUUGGUGCCUUCGGGAACUCUGACACAGGUGCUGCAUGGCCGUCGUCAGCUCGUGUCGUGAGAUGUUGGGUUAAGUCCCGUAACGAGCGCAACCCCUAUCCCUAGUUGCUAGCAGUUCGGCUGAGAACUCUAGGGAGACUGCCGGUGACAAACCGGAGGAAGGUGGGGAUGACGUCAGGUCAUCAUGGCCCUUACGGCCAGGGCUACACACGUGCUACAAUGGUGCGCACAGAGGGCUGCAAACCCGCGAGGGGGAGCCAAUCUCACAAAACGCAUCGUAGUCCGGAUCGCAGUCUGCAACUCGACUGCGUGAAGUCGGAAUCGCUAGUAAUCGUGAAUCAGAAUGUCACGGUGAAUACGUUCCCGGGCCUUGUACACACCGCCCGUCACACCAUGGGAGUGGAUUGCACCAGAAGUGGUUAGUCUAACCUUCGGGAGGACGGUCACCACGGUGUGGUUCAUGACUGGGGUGAAGUCGUAACAAGGUAACCGUA